rnacentral:sRNA from 2 species
GUCCGUCGGCCGCCGUACCUACUGCACAGCCAGGACGGGGGUGGGGGACCCAUCUCUCGGUGCCCGGCCGGUCCGGCCGGGCACCUCGGGGUGAAGCCGUGUGCGCACGGCCGGGGCACCGAUCGCUCCGAACCCGACAGCUCACCUCGCAGGCGGCGGAUCGGGAGUCC